UCAGUCCCAGGAGGGGACAAAGCCAGAGCCUUAGCACUGGACACCCUUGCCCACCUGCCCCUGCCUUCUCCCCCACACGCCUCCAACCCCGAAGAGGCAGCUGUCCUUCUAGCGGCAGGUGGUUAGAGACCUCCGGCGCCCACAUCCUGAGAUAACUCCACACCAGGGUUACGGUGAAACUGCGCCAUCUAGCCCAGCAGGCCGGCCCUUUGUGUGACAACUAAAGGAACCUGAACUGGUCAAGAUUGGGCACAGAACAAACACCCGAGUCCAACCGCCAACUUCCAAGUGUCCCAGAGGGAAACGAGCAGAACCACGACCACCAGAGCCUGUUGGUUCCAGGGUGAGUGGAGCUAGCCGACUUCAGGAACCGCCCGUCAUGUGUUCUCUGCCAUCCAGAGCUGCUUUGAAAACAGAAAAGGCCAUUUAAAAGUCGACCUGGCCGGUUAGUUUUGAAGGGAAAAUGACUUGACCACGCAUCCCUUAACUUUCCUCCCAGUGCGGACGACGGGGCCAUGGUGACGGGCUACACCUGCCUUCAUAGUGGACGACACCACGGACGAUGUCCAGCUUCCCUAAUUCAUGGUCAUAAUCAAAGGGGGAGAAAAGCUACCACUCUAAACAAGAUAAUGUACGUCUGUUAGGAAAAGAAGUGUGCUUCUGUCCCAUGAGGAUGCUGGAAGAAAUUUUACCCUAAAAGGCAUCCUUUGGCAAAUCUCCAUCCAAGCAAGGCCAGAGCCAGCAGCCAGCAGGUGCCCAGUGGCGGACAAUGGGGGAUGAAGUCAGAAACAUAUGUUUGUGCCCUAUGAAGUUCAAGUCAGAGCCUGGACCUCAAAGGACUUUAAUAUAUGCCCCUGUCGCAUCAAAGUCCUGGCCAGCCAGUGAACUCCAGGUCAGUUCCGGAGUCCUGAGGCAGCCCGGCCCCAAAAUCACAGAAUUCACGACAUUUUUGCACAGAGUUGCAGCUACCGGAUUUAUCCUUCAUAAUGAUGUUACAAAAUAACAAAAAUACAGACAUGAAGCACAAUCUUGGGAAUGCAUUGCAGUGAUGGCCAGAAAACAGUCUUCGGUUUCUUGUGAAAUGCUGUAUCUUAAAAUUAAAAAAUGACAGACUUGUGUGUCUUUGCCAUCACAAAGUUACACAACAUGUUUAAAAUAUCAAAGGACUGUAAUGGAAAAAUAGGAAUCCACAGCUGUAGAAUUUUCCAUAAUUGGGGGCACCCAACUCCGUGAGGUCUCAAAGACUCAUGGUGGGCUUCUGCUCACUAAGAAGCCUCCGGAGGGACCCUCUCUCCGGGACCCGCUUGUGGCUGUCACUUUCCCUUUGCUCUCGUUGCCACUAACUUUGCUUAAUGACCUCGUUCUCUGGGACUAACCAUUUCUCCAGCAGAGGAACAGGCCUCGCUCUUCCAAGGUCGGAGUUGGGGGAAUUGGCUCUCUGGCUGAGACCCCAGAGUGCGGGGGCAGAGCUCCACGUGGUGUGAUGGGACCAAAUGUUCAGUACAUUUUUUUUUUCUAAAUGGAUGUUCAAUAUUUUAAGUGGCACAUCAGUUACUCUGGGGUACUCUUAUCCAGUUCACUCCAUCAGCUUCAAUAAAUGCCAAAUUAAAAAGAAGAA